AAGAGAGAGCACGUCCAGAACACGCCAGAGACUGUCUCUUCCUGACUCUGCCAGCCCUAGAUUGGGAGCUCUGAGAUGACAUAGGCUGCGUCCCACCCCAGCAGCAGCAUGCAAGGUCAAAAGGCUGUGGCAGGAGGCCAGGCAGAUCACAGCGUCCAUGCCUAGAUGCUCCCUGACCCCCAGGAACCAGAAGUGCUGUCUCCUGAAGGCUCUGGAAACCCGGAAUCAGCCUACGAGGCACCAGGGCCACCUUGGAGGGUGGAAAUGAGGACCUCAGGCCCCAGAGGGCAUGCAGGCGAGGUGAAGUUCAGGAGAGGGGAAAGAACAUGGGCUGUGUGGCCUUGGACCAAUUGCUUGCCCUCUCUGGGCCUUCUUAUUGGUGACAGACAGACUGGUGACUUUCUGAGAGGAUCUAUGCAACCUCAGGCUCCUGCACCUGGGUUACAGGGUCUUCUGGAGGGGAAGAGAUGAGCAGGUAGGCUUUGACACCUGCCUGCUUUGUCCUGAGUGUCUACUAUGUCAUCUGCUUUAAAUGCGAAGUCCCUGGGACUUGCGAGUUAUCUCUAAGCCUUCUCUUUUCCUGACUUUCUGGGAGUGUGUGUACCCCCAUUCCCUCACCCCAGCCAUCAGGGCCCUUUCUGAGUUGGGCCUCCUUCCUAGCUCUGGGCUAGGCCCCAACCCUGGCCCUUUCCAAGGCCAGCAGGAACUGGAAGGUCCGUACUCAUGCCCUGGGAGGCUCCAGGCUCUAAGGGGUGCUGGAGUGAUGGAGUUGGGCGGCUGGUGCUCAGAGGACCUUAAUGGUGUGGGGACAGCUGGAAACUGGUUGUCUCUUGAACCCUCUUGCCACCAGGCCUCUGUCCAGGAGGGCUGCUGGGGGCCAAUGGGCCAGACACCAGACAGUCACACCUUUGGCAGGGCUGAAGUCGGGGGGUGUGUGACACAAUGGGAGGGGCUGGGCCUGGCAGUCCCUGCAGCCUAUAAGCACCAGCAACCCAUGAGGGGACACAGGCACCCUCUGGCCUCAUCCUUCUUGGAGCCAGUGGGAUGUAGCAACUAAAAUACAAGCUCUGAAGUUUCAUGGACUGGAGUUGCAUCUCUGCUUCCAUCCUAAUUAGCAAGAGACCUUGGUCACGUUGCUUAAACUCUGACACUAGAUUUUCCCCCUCUGCAAAGCAAGGACAAUAGCAGUGCUCCCUUCCCGGGUCAGUUGCAAGGAUUAAGGAUGAUGUCUGCAAAGUGCUUAGUCAGAGCCGGCAUACGGUAAGUGCUCAAUAAAUGCUGGCUCCCAUUAUUAGUAUCCCUUCCCUCCACGCCCUCAACACAUCCCUUUAUCAUGAUGGAAUAACCAAUUGCCUGGUAACAACAUGUUCACACUUCCACGCUCCCCAUCAACCAUGCUCACCUAUAAGGCAGGCUGCGACCAGCUCCUCUUCAUCUAUUCAUUGCCUGGCCCAUGCUAGGGGCCCAAGAAAUGUCUGCUGCAUCAACGAGUGAUUUUGGGAAAGGUGCUGAGCCCUUCUGUCCCAUGAAGUUCUUGCGAGACAGUGUCUCACCAGCAACCUGGAUCGUGAGAACCACAGCGGGUGGGCCAGAUCUAGAUGGAGAGUGUCCAUUGGGCAGAGCUGCUUCUGUGAAAGGAAAGGAAGUUUUUCAAGAAACCAUGAGGGGGGCCCAAGAAUCCAAGUUUCUAACUCUGGGAUCGGUUUUCUGUCUUUUACCUCGGUUUGCCUCUCCCUAGCUGUGUGGUUUAUGGCAAGUCACUCUGUGCCUCUGUCUCCACGUGUUCAAGGAGGCAGCCGGUCCAAGGGGCCUUCAUAGAAGGGGCUGCCGAGAUGUGAGCCCUGCAUUGGGGGGAUGCCCCACAGAGGUGCUGUCCCCCAUCCCCUUUCCAGGUAUGAGUGUCCCCCAGCUCUGAGUGAAUCAGUAGGAGGUGCUGGACCUGGGCUGAUUCUCACAGUGGGACCUCAACUCUAGCCCCGGGUUGGCUGACAUUAGAGGACUUUGGGUCGUUGUUCUGGCAGCUGCAAGGAAGAGCCAAUGUCAGGGAGGGAAACCCCACAUUCCCUGGCACUAUCCAAACAAAGGUUUGGUUAAAACAAAGAAUUCUCAUGGAGAAGAGUCUGAAGGACCCAAAACACAUAUUUCUGUAGACAUCCCAUCCCAAAAUAAACCCAUGGAUCAAGCCAGACCCAAAUACAAGGAUGCUGUGAACCACAUGGUUGAAUAUUCCACACUUUCCCCAUCCAUUAAACCCCACCCAGGGUGGGAAGGGGAUGGAUUUCCCUCAGUUCUCAGGGCCUAGAAGAGCAGGGCUUUUUUCCCUCAACUGGUUGAGUUUUACUUUGUGAGCACCAUGAUUCCUAAAACCAGUUAUAUUUUCUUUUUCUCUUGGGCCGCCAGGGAACUCACAGCGAAAUCUACCAACCAAAGAGGAUGUCCAUACCUGUCUUUUUCUUUCUUCCUUCAUUUUUUGACUUAAUUUCCUCACUUGAAAAAAAAAAAUAAAACACCUUAUUCAGGGUAUACUUUAUGGGCAGUCUUAAUUUUUUUUAUUAGGAUGUGGGAUGUA
rnacentral:lncRNA from 1 species